AUGGAGCGUGGGAUAGCUCAGGAGACCAUUUUCGGGAGGACACAGGAUCAAAGAUUAAGGUCACUCAGUUCCGAUCUAGAGGUUGAGGGGGAGGGGGGGGGCGUCGAUAGUAGGCGGAAGGAGACCAGAUGUUCAACGACUAGGGAAGUCAAGAGAGCGAGGCAGAAGUCCAGAUGUGUAGGAAGACGCCUUCGACCGGGGAACAGGGGUCCAGGUGUAGCCUCUGGGCAUGACCACGAAGGUCCAGAUUGGCAAGACAAAAGUCAGGAUGACUAGUGAUUUCUCCAGAUGCAGUGGAUGACCUUGGGAUCUUCAUUGUCUGACCUAGCCAAGUGGAGCCAAGAUGACAGCUUAGUAGCAACAAAAGGGGGAAUCUCUCUGAGAAUUCUCUGUCUGACCAAGAUCUAAGCUCUACACAAGACCUGCUUUUUCCUUUCUGGCUAUUGGAACUAAUUGUUCAACCAUUCUAAAGGGAGAAGAGAAGGUUUCACAUGCUUGGGGUAGACACCUCCCUAAGUCACCAAAAGGUUUGAGGCUUGUCAGUUUCCCUCAACCUAGGUUAAAUUGUCUGGAAGAUGGUUUUUACCAAAGGUGCUAGUCCUUCCUGAAGACCCCACUGUUCUAAGCCCUGAGAAUAUAAAAGCAUAGUCCUUGACCUCAAGAAGCUUGUAUUCUAAUGAGGAAAGGUGAUAUGUUAAAAAGAACUGCAAAGGGAAGGGUACAAAGGUGAGGUCUAGGACAUAGAAUACUUCUUAGGGCGGAUCAUCUUGUAAAGGAUAGAAUGAGGGGAUUUCUGGGAUCUUGGAGUCCCUAGAAAACUUAGGUCUAAUAAUGCCUUUCUUAGCCCUUUAUAAUAUACCAAAAAAGAAAAGAAAAGAAAAUAUUUUUCAUUGCUCUAGCCCUUUAUAAUAUACAAAAUAUUUCCUUCUCUCAUUCAAUAUUCUGUAAAGCCCUGUGGGGAAGGCAAAGUGAGUAUGAUGAUUCCAUUUUUAAUGAGGAAGAAAUAGAAGCUCAGGGGCAAUCUCAAGUAUUUUCCUACUUUUCCUGGUAGAGGGAUCAGCAAACAAAAUUUCCAUGCCAAUUCACAUGGCUUGGUCUUUCCAGGGCAGUUUUAUCUGCCCUCCCACAAUGGCAAUCAGUGGUAGAGCACAAAAAGUUCUAGACCUUUAGUCAAGAUGCUUAGUCAGAAGACCUGAGUUCAACAUCUGGUUCUGAUUCUUAUUUGCUGUGGGACUCUGCACAAAUCACUUCAGAUCUCUGAGCUUCAGUUUCCUCCUCUAUCAAAUGGGAAUAAUGUAGCUGUCUGUAUUACCCACUUCAUAGGGUUGUCAUGAAGAAAGCCCUGUAUAAAUGUUCAAACUCUACAGAAAUGAGAGUUGUGGUUAUUAGGGGACAUCCUAAAAAUUUCACUGCUUCUGUUAAAUCAAUUUUAGGUCCCAUGGAAAUAAAUUUCUAUUCUAUAAGCCA
rnacentral:lncRNA from 1 species